UACCAAACUGUGUGAAAUAUUAGCAUGUCACAGUGAACUAUUAAAAAGUUAUUUUACUGUGAUACAUUUUUUGGUACCAUGAUAUGUUUUUAUCUAUGCUAUCAGGGACAUGACUAUAAAAACCAUUGUUUUUAUGUAGAAGUGUUAGAAUUUCAGUUGUUAGUACUUGUUAUACCCCCCAUUCUGAGAAAACCUGACUCCUAAAAGCAUUUAGACAGCAGAAACUAGUGUUUGUGUUAGCCUAAAUCUGUGUGGUUGACUAAACAUUUCCAUGUUCUGUCUAGAUGCCUAACAACAACGUCUACAACGUCCCAGUAACAGUUAUAGCUGGAAAUAGACCAAACUAUCUGUAUAGAAUGCUGCGCUCUCUUCUUUCCUCCCAUGGUGUCAAUCCACAGAUGAUCACUGUUUUUAUCCAUGGCUACUAUGAGGAACCCAUGGAUGUGGUGGAUCUCUUCGGUCUUAAAGGAGUUCAGCAUACGCCUAUCAGUAUAAAGAACGCUAGAGUGUCACA